UACGAAGGGGGCUAGCGUUGCUCGGAAUUACUGGGCGUAAAGCGCACGUAGGCGGCUUUCUAAGUCGGGGGUGAAAUCCUGGAGCUCAACUCCAGAACUGCCUUCGAUACUGGAGAGCUCGAGUCCGGGAGAGGUGAGUGGAACUGCGAGUGUAGAGGUGAAAUUCGUAGAUAUUCGCAAGAACACCAGUGGCGAAGGCGGCUUACUGGUCCGGAACUGACGCUGAGGUGCGAAAGCGUGGGGAGCAAACAGG
rnacentral:rRNA from 1 species